UGGUUGUAUUUUGACCUAUUU
rnacentral:piRNA from 1 species